GGUCACUGGGCUUGGUGGCAGGCACCUUUAUACCAGGUGAGCCACUUCUCUGGCUCCUAAAGCCCUUUUUAUUAAAGAGACUUAGGUAACUAAACUAUUAUUAUUAUUAAUUUAUUUUUAUUUUAUGUGCACUGGUAUUUUGUCAGCAUGUAAGUCUGUGUGAAGGUGUCAGACUUUAGAGAGAUAAAGAAAUCACUUAAACUGACCAGGGCCAGUUGUGCUGCUGAAGGUGGGAGCUCCGUCAUUCACUGUUGGGGUUCCUUUACCUUCAUGGGUGCCGGUGAGAAGACUCAAGACUGCUUCUUGAUGCUGUCAAGGGUAGACUCUAACAUGGAUGGGCCACAGCGGCCUGACUCCAUCCAGGCAGGAGGAUGAAGAGCAGCCAGUUCGGGAUCCCAUGAGGGGACUCUGCUUUUCCGAGGGGAGGAGAGAGCCCUGCUUGCCACGUGGUCUGAGGUGUUUGAGCAGAGGUUGAAGGGACCACACCAUGUGUAAUAAAGCCCCUUUGUUUCUGUACUGCCCCAGGGAAUGCGUCUUUCUUUCUUUCUUUCUUUCUUUCUUUCUUUCUUUCUUUCUUUCUUUCUUUCUUUCUUUUUUUAUUAAAUUGGAUAUUUUAUUUGUUUACAUUUCAAAUGUUUCCCAGUUUCCCCUGGUAUCUAUUGUUGUUUUGAGACAGGGUUUCUCUGUGUAGCCUUGCCUAUCUUAGAACUCCCUCUGUAGACCAGGCUGGGCUUGAACUCAGAGAGAGCUGCCUACUGUUACCUCCAAAGUGCUGGGAUUAAAGGUAUGGGCCAUUAUUUCCUAGCUAUCUAUCUGUUUUUUUAUUUAUGUGAAUGUCUGCCUCUGUAGAGCCCAAAAGAGGGUGUCAGGACCCCUAGUGCUAGAAUUACAGGCUGUUAUAAACUGCCUAACAUGGGUGCUGAGGACCACAUGUGGGUCCUUUGGAAAAGCAGCAAGUGCUCUGAACUACUGAGCCAGCUCUCCAGCCCCAAGCACAUGAUAUUUUGUGUGAGUUUGUGUGUGUGUGUGUGUGUGUGUGUGUGUGUGUGUUAUUUUUGAUAAAGCAUGAAGAGAGCUGAAUCCCAGUCUGGGGCUGCUUAGUGCAGAGGGGAGAGAUCACUCUUAUGAAGUGAGCUAGGCAGUCAGAACUCCAGCAGGAGCCAUUGGGACUUCUCAUGCACUUGGGAUAAGGGGUCAUCAGCUUUAAGAACAUGCCCAAGGACAUGCCUGCAGCUCACACCCGAUUGCUGCCAUCCUAGUGUUCAGAUGUAUAGUCAGGUUUCCCUGCUAACAAUCCUUUCUGACCAAAGAAAGCCAGUUCUAGUUCAGAUGCCACACAGAAAGGUCUUGGUCACACCCUUCCAUCCCUGUGAGUUACACAGAAGCCCAGGAUGCUGGCCAAAGACCCAGAGUGGCAGCCUUCCCAGCUACGGCCCUCGGGGUGAAGGGGUGAGAAGAGCAGUAAGUUCUUGGGACUUGAAGACUAAGGAGACAUCACUGCUCCUGUGAGUGCAGUAAAGCAAGGGGCAAGCC
rnacentral:lncRNA from 1 species